rnacentral:tRNA from 1 species
UCUAAUAUGGCAGACUAUAUGUANUGGAUUUAACCCAUUUAUAAAGGAAUAUCCUUUUUUUAGAA